rnacentral:piRNA from 1 species
UGUGCGACUCUGACACUGUGCUGGAUC